rnacentral:rRNA from 1 species
GACGAACGCUGGCGGCGUGCCUAAUACAUGCAAGUUGAGCGAUGAAGAUUGGUGCUUGCACCAAUUUGCAGAGCAGCGAACGGGUGAGUAACGCGUGGGGAAUCUGCCUUUGAGCGGGGGACAACAUUUGGAAACGAAUGCUAAUACCGCAUAACAACUUUAAACAUAAGUUUUAAGUUUGAAAGAUGCAAUUGCAUCACUCAAAGAUGAUCCCGCGUUGUAUUAGCUAGUUGGUGAGGUAAAGGCUCACCAAGGCGAUGAUACAUAGCCGACCUGAGAGGGUGAUCGGCCACAUUGGGACUGAGACACGGCCCAAACUCCUACGGGAGGCGGCAGUAGGGAAUCUUCGGCAAUGGACGAAAGUCUGACCGAGCAACGCCGCGUGAGUGAAGAAGGUUUUCGGAUCGUAAAACUCUGUUGGUAGAGAAGAACGUUGGUGAGAGUGGAAAGCUCAUCAAGUGACGGUAACUACCCAGAAAGGGACGGCUAACUACGUG